AAGUGCGAAUGCUGACAUAAGUAACGAUAAAACGGGUGAAAAACCCGUUCGCCGGAAGACCAAGGGUUCCUGUCCAACGUUAAUCGGGGCAGGGUGAGUCGGCUCCUAAGGUGAGGCUGAAAAGCGUAGUCGAUGGGAAACAGGUUAAUAUUCCUGUACUUGGUAAAGCUGCGAUGUGGGGACGGAGUAGGUUAGGUUAUCGCACUGUUGGAUAUGUGCGUUUAAGUUGGUAGGUGGGAAGUUUAGGCAAAUCCGGACUUCCUUAACACAGAGAGAUGAUGACGAGGCUCUACGGAGCUGAAGUAACUGAUACCACACUUCCAGGAAAAGCCACUAAGCGAAAGGCUUUACUAAACCGUACUGAAAACCGACACAGGUGGUCAGGUAGAGAAUACUCAGGCGCUUGAGAGAACUCGGGUGAAGGAACUAGGCAAAAUAGCACCGUAACUUCGGGAGAAGGUGCGCCGGCGUAGAUUGUAAGGGCUAGCCCCUGAAGGUUGAACCGGUCGAAGAUACCAGCUGGCUGCAACUGUUUAUUAAAAACACAGCACUCUGCAAACACGAAAGUGGACGUAUAGGGUGUGAUGCCUGCCCGGUGCUGGAAGGUUAAUUGAUGGUGUCAUCGAAAGAGAAGCACCUGAUCGAAGCCCCAGUAAACGGCGGCCGUAACUAUAACGGUCCUAAGGUAGCGAAAUUCCUUGUCGGGUAAGUUCCGACCUGCACGAAUGGCAUAAUGAUGGCCAGGCUGUCUCCACCCGAGACUCAGUGAAAUUGAAAUCGCCGUGAAGAUGCGGUGUACCCGCGGCUAGACGGAAAGACCCCGUGAACCUUUACUAUAGCUUGACACUGAACAUUGAAUUUUGAUGUGUAGGAUAGGUGGGAGACUUAGAAGCAGUCACGCCAGUGAUUGUGGAGUCAUCCUUGAAAUACCACCCUUUAACGUUUGAUGUUCUAACGAAGAUGACGAAACGUGGUCUCGGACAGUGUCUGGUGGGUAGUUUGACUGGGGCGGUCUCCUCCCAAAGCGUAACGGAGGAGCACGAAGGUUUGCUAAUGACGGUCGGACAUCGUCAGGUUAGUGCAAUGGUAUAAGCAAGCUUAACUGCGAGACAGACAAGUCGAGCAGGUACGAAAGUAGGUCAUAGUGAUCCGGUGGUUCUGAAUGGAAGGGCCAUCGCUCAACGGAUAAAAGGUACUCCGGGGAUAACAGGCUGAUACCGCCCAAGAGUUCAUAUCGACGGCGGUGUUUGGCACCUCGAUGUCGGCUCAUCACAUCCUGGGGCUGAAGUAGGUCCCAAGGGUAUGGCUGUUCGCCAUUUAAAGUGGUACGCGAGCUGGGUUUAGAACGUCGUGAGACAGUUCGGUCCCUAUCUGCCGUGGGCGUAGGAUGAUUGAUUGGGGCUGCUCCUAGUACGAGAGGACCGGAGUGGACGCAUCACUGGUGUUCCAGUUGUCUCGCCAGAGGCAUUGCUGGGUAGCUAAAUGCGGAAGAGAUAAGUGCUGAAAGCAUCUAAGCACGAAACUUGCCAAGAGAUGAGUCAUCCCUGACUUUAAGUCAGUAAGGGUUGUUGU
rnacentral:rRNA from 1 species